rnacentral:rRNA from 1 species
CCCUUAGAUGUUCUGGGCUGCACGCGCGCUACACUGAUGUGUUCAUCGGGUUCGACCUUGCCCGGGAGGGUUGGGUAAUCCUUUCAAAACACAUCGUGAUGGGGAUAGAUUAUUGCAAUUAUUAAUCUUCAACGAGGAAUUCCUAGUAAGCGCGAGUCAUCAGCUCGUGCUGAUUACGUCCCUGCCCUUUGUACACACCGCCCGUCGCUCCUACCGUUUGAGUGAUCCGGUGAAUAAUUCGGACUGCAGCAGUGUCCAGUUCCUGGACGUUGCAGCGGAAAGUUUAGUGAACCUUAUCACUUAGAGGAAGGAGAAGUCGUAACA